CGCCGGAAGACCAAGGGUUCCUGUCCAACGUUAAUCGGGGCAGGGUGAGUCGACCCCUAAGGCGAGGCCGAAAGGCGUAGUCGAUGGGAAACAGGUUAAUAUUCCUGUACUUGGUGUUACUGCGAAGGGGGGACGGAGAAGGCUAUGUUGGCCGGGCGACGGUUGUCCCGGUUUAAGCGUGUAGGCUGGUUUUCCAGGCAAAUCCGGAAAAUCAAGGCUGAGGCGUGAUGACGAGGCACUACGGUGCUGAAGCAACAAAUGCCCUGCUUCCAGGAAAAGCCUCUAAGCAUCAGGUAACAUCAAAUCGUACCCCAAACCGACACAGGUGGUCAGGUAGAGAAUACCAAGGCGCUUGAGAGAACUCGGGUGAAGGAACUAGGCAAAAUGGUGCCGUAACUUCGGGAGAAGGCACGCUGAUAUGUAGGUGAAGUCCCUUGCGGAUGGAGCUGAAAUCAGUCGAAGAUACCAGCUGGCUGCAACUGUUUAUUAAAAACACAGCACUGUGCAAACACGAAAGUGGACGUAUACGGUGUGACGCCUGCCCGGUGCCGGAAGGUUAAUUGAUGGGGUUAGCGCAAGCGAAGCUCUUGAUCGAAGCCCCGGUAAACGGCGGCCGUAACUAUAACGGUCCUAAGGUAGCGAAAUUCCUUGUCGGGUAAGUUCCGACCUGCACGAAUGGCGUAAUGAUGGCCAGGCUGUCUCCACCCGAGACUCAGUGAAAUUGAACUCGCUGUGAAGAUGCAGUGUACCCGCGGCAAGACGGAAAGACCCCGUGAACCUUUACUAUAGCUUGACACUGAACAUUGAGCCUUGAUGUGUAGGAUAGGUGGGAGGCUUUGAAGUGUGGACGCCAGUCUGCAUGGAGCCGACCUUGAAAUACCACCCUUUAAUGUUUGAUGUUCUAACGUUGACCCGUAAUCCGGGUUGCGGACAGUGUCUGGUGGGUAGUUUGACUGGGGCGGUCUCCUCCUAAAGAGUAACGGAGGAGCACGAAGGUUGGCUAAUCCUGGUCGGACAUCAGGAGGUUAGUGCAAUGGCAUAAGCCAGCUUGACUGCGAGCGUGACGGCGCGAGCAGGUGCGAAAGCAGGUCAUAGUGAUCCGGUGGUUCUGAAUGGAAGGGCCAUCGCUCAACGGAUAAAAGGUACUCCGGGGAUAACAGGCUGAUACCGCCCAAGAGUUCAUAUCGACGGCGGUGUUUGGCACCUCGAUGUCGGCUCAUCACAUCCUGGGGCUGAAGUAGGUCCCAAGGGUAUGGCUGUUCGCCAUUUAAAGUGGUACGCGAGCUGGGUUUAGAACGUCGUGAGACAGUUCGGUCCCUAUCUGCCGUGGGCGUUGGAGAAUUGAUUGGGGCUGCUCCUAGUACGAGAGGACCGGAGUGGACGCACCACUGGUGUUCCGGUUGUGUCGCCAGACGCAUUGCCGGGUAGCUAAGUGCGGAAGAGAUAAGUGCUGAAAGCAUCUAAGCACGAAACUUGCCUUGAGAUGAGUUCUCCCUGUCUUUAAGACAGUAAGGGUUGU
rnacentral:rRNA from 1 species